GGUACCGUGGGAGGGGCCGCGCGUGGGUUAGCGGGGAGCGAGUCCCUCCGUCCCCGCGAGUCGGCGCUUUUGGCCCUGCGGGAGGGGCCGGGCUCGAUGAGAAAAGCAUCAUUCAAGCUCAGAUUCGUAUUGAAGCCUGCCACAAGGUCCACCUGUUGUGGGUUUGUGUGUGACCAGACCAAGUCUCGCUCUGUUGGCCAGGCUGGAGUGCAGUGGCGUGAUCUUGGCUCAUUUCAACCUCCACCUUCCAGAUUCAAGCAAUUCUUCUGCCUCAGUUUUCUGGGUAGCUGGGACUACAGGGGUUACCCCCAGCAGUGUGUGAGAAUGAAGAGUGUGGGCCACUGUGUCUCUGUUGACCUGCCAGCUAGGAAAUAGCGCCAGAGUUGCUGCAAUCCGCAUCUCCCUAGAAUUCAGGAGCAGCUUGGCUGGAAGGCUCUGGCUGGAAACUUGCAGAAGGCUGUCAGCUGGGUCCGCAUCAUCCCAAGGCUCAACGGGUACCGGGGGCCACUCCAUGGCCUGCGAGUCGGAGCUGGCUGUCGGUGGG
rnacentral:sRNA from 1 species